rnacentral:rRNA from 1 species
UACGUAGGGUGCAAGCGUUGUCCGGAAUUACUGGGCGUAAAGGGCUCGUAGGCGGCCAACUAAGUCAUACGUGAAAUCCCUCAGCUUAACUGGGGAACUGCGUGUGAUACUGGAUGGCUUGGAUUUGGGAGAGGGAUGCGGAAUUCCAGGUGUAGCGGUGAAAUGCGUAGAUAUCUGGAGGAACACCGGUGGCGAAGGCGGCAUCCUGGACCAAUAUUGACGCUGAGGAGCGAAAGCCAGGGGAGCAAACGGG